rnacentral:rRNA from 1 species
GAGUUUGAUCGUGGCUCAGAUUGAACGCUGGCGGCAUGCCUUACACAUGCAAGUCGAACGGCAGCACGGGAGCUUGCUCCUGGUGGCGAGUGGCGAACGGGUGAGUAAUGCAUCGGAACGUAUCCUGGAGUGGGGGAUAACGUAGCGAAAGUUACGCUAAUACCGCAUAUUCUGUGAGCAGGAAAGCGGGGGACCUUCGGGCCUCGCGCUCUUGGAGCGGCCGAUGUCGGAUUAGCUAGUUGGUGAGGUAAAGGCUCACCAAGGCGACGAUCCGUAGCAGGUCUGAGAGGAUGAUCUGCCACACUGGAACUGAGACACGGUCCAGACUCCUACGGGAGGCAGCAGUGGGGAAUUUUGGACAAUGGGGGCAACCCUGAUCCAGCCAUGCCGCGUGAGUGAAGAAGGCCUCGGUUGUAAGUACGUACGUUACGUCGUACGG